rnacentral:tRNA from 6 species
UCUAAUAUGGCAGAUUAGUGCA